rnacentral:rRNA from 1 species
GCUAUACAUGCAGUCGAACGCGUUGGCCCAAUUGAUUGAUGGUGCUUGCACCUGAUUGAUUUUGGUCGCCAACGAGUGGCGGACGGGUGAGUAACACGUAGGUAACCUGCCCAGAAGCGGGGGACAACAUUUGGAAACAGAUGCUAAUACCGCAUAACAGCGUUGUUCGCAUGAACAACGCUUAAAAGAUGGCUUCUCGCUAUCACUUCUGGAUGGACCUGCGGUGCAUUAGCUUGUUGGUGGGGUAACGGCCUACCAAGGCGAUGAUGCAUAGCCGAGUUGAGAGACUGAUCGGCCACAAUGGGACUGAGACACGGCCCAUACUCCUACGGGAGGCAGCAGUAGGGAAUCUUCCACAAUGGGCGCAAGCCUGAUGGAGCAACACCGCGUGAGUGAAGAAGGGUUUCGGCUCGUAAAGCUCUGUUGUUAAAGAAGAACACGUAUGAGAGUAACUGUUCAUACGUUGACGGUAUUUAACCAGAAAGUCACGGCUAACUACGUGCCAGCAGCCGCGGUAAUACGUAGGUGGCAAGCGUUAUCCGGAUUUAUUGGGCGUAAAGAGAGUGCAGGCGGUUUUCUAAGUCUGAUGUGAAAGCCUUCGGCUUAACCGGAGAAGUGCAUCGGAAACUGGAUAACUUGAGUGCAGAAGAGGGUAGUGGAACUCCAUGUGUAGCGGUGGAAUGCGUAGAUAUAUGGAAGAACACCAGUGGCGAAAGCGGCUACCUGGUCUGCAACUGACGCUGAGACUCGAAAGCAUGGGUAGCGAACAGGAUUAGAUACCCUGGUAGUCCAUGCCGUAAACGAUGAGUGCUAGGUGUUGGAGGGUUUCCGCCCUUCAGUGCCGGAGCUAACGCAUUAAGCACUCCGCCUGGGGAGUACGACCGCAAGGUUGAAACUCAAAGGAAUUGACGGGGGCCCGCACAGGCGGUGGAGCAUGUGGUUUAAUUCGAAGCUACGCGAAGAACCUUACCAGGUCUUGACAUCUUGCGCCAACCCUAGAGAUAGGGCGUUCCCUUCGGGAACGCAAUGACAGGUGGUGCAUGGUCGUCGUCAGCUCGUGUCGUGAAAUGGUGGGUUAAGUCCCGCAACGAGCGCAACCCUUGUUACUAGUGGCCAGCAUUAAGUUGGCCACUCUAGUGGAACUGCCGGUGACAAACCGGAGGAAGGUGGGGACAACUUCAGAU